UGGGGAAUAUUGCACAAUGGAGGGAACUCUGAUGCAGCGACGCCGCGUGAACGAAGAAGGCUUUCGAGUCGUAAAGUUCUUUUAUAUGGGAAGAUAAUGACGGUACCAUAAGAAAAAGCCCCGGCUAACUACGUGCCAGCAGCCGCGGUAAUACGUAGGGGGCUAGCGUUGUCCGGAAUCACUGGGCGUAAAGGGUUCGCAGGCGGAGAUGCAAGUCAGGUGUAAAAGGCAGUAGCUUAACUACUGUAAGCAUUUGAAACUGCAUAUCUUGAGAAGAGUAGAGGUAAGUGGAAUUUUUAGUGUAGCGGUGAAAUGCGUAGAUAUUAAAAAGAAUACCGGUGGCGAAGGCGACUUACUGGGCUCAUUCUGACGCUGAGGCUCGAAAGCGUGGGUAGCAAACAGG
rnacentral:rRNA from 1 species